rnacentral:rRNA from 1 species
UACAGAGGGGGCAAGCGUUAUUCGGAAUUAUUGGGCGUAAAGGGCGCGUAGGCGGCUUUGCAAGUGACGGGUGAAAGCCCUCGGCUUAACCGAGGAACUGCCUGUCAGACUGUGAGGCUUGAGACCAGGAGAGGUGAGUGGAAUUCCCAGUGUAGCGGUGAAAUGCGUAGAUAUUGGGAGGAACACCAGUGGCGAAGGCGGCAUCCUGGACCAACACUGACACUGAGGAGCGAAAGCCAGGGGAGCAAACGGG